GGAACUUUCUUAGACUAUAAUCGGCUGGAUAACAAAACCGUCUUCCAUCCACUCAGCCAGUUCCUCGACGGACACGGGUGGGAACGGAACCACGCGUCGUAGAACACAGAGAGCGUCGCAUGGCCAUCAGGCGAAAGGCAGCUGGCUAGACCGGAGAAGCCAAAGAUAUUCGCAGAGCCGAAGCCUUUGACUUUCAAACCGUCACGUCGCGCAACGUCUACGCCGCAGGGUAACCAGACCAUGAACUGCUACGUGGUCAGAAUCGAGGAGGGUUUUCAGUCUUGGGUGCUACGGCAGUUCAGCUUCAGUAUGGCUUCAGCGACAAGAGCGGCGACAUCAGGAGCGACAUCAGUAGCAACGCAGAUUCCACAGAGCGACGACGGAGAGAGAGA
rnacentral:misc_RNA from 1 species